CACGUAGUUAGCCGGUGCUUAUUCCUCAGGUACCGUCAUUAGCCCCAGAUAUUAGCCGGAGCCGUUUCUUCCCUGACAAAAGAGCUUUACAACCCGAAGGCCUUCUUCACUCACGCGGCAUUGCUGGAUCAGGCUUGCGCCCAUUGUCCAAAAUUCCCCACUGCUGCCUCCCGUAGGAGUCUGGACCGUGUCUCAGUUCCAGUGUGGCUGGUCGUCCUCUCAGACCAGCUACUGAUCGUCGCCUUGGUGAGCCUUUACCCCACCAACUAGCUAAUCAGACAUCGGCCGCUCCAAAAGCAUGAGGCCCGAAGGUCCCCCAUUUCUUCCGUAGAACGUAUGCGGUAUUAGCGCAACUUUCGCUGCGUUAUCCCCCACUUCUGGGUACGUUCCGAUGUAUUACUCACCCGUUCGCCACUCGCCACCAGGCCGAAGCCCCGUGCUGCCGUUCGACUUGCAUGUGUAAAGCAUGCCGCAGCGUUCAAUCUGAGCCAGGA
rnacentral:rRNA from 1 species